UAUCAGAGAGGUUAUGAAGACUUCCUGAAUGCUCAUUCAAGGUUGUACAAGAAGGAUGGCACCAGCAUCUGCAUCUGAUGAGGACCUCAGGGUGCUUCCACUUGUGGCAGAAGAAGGGGAGCCAGCAUGUGCAGAUACCACACGGCGAGAGAUGAAGGAAGAGAAAGAGGAGGAAGGUUCCAGGCUCUUUUUAACAAUCAGACCUCACAGGAACUAAUAGUGUGAGAAGAUGUUUAACAUAUUCUAAUAAGAUAUUCCUAAUAAACUGCCAUGAGAUAA